rnacentral:rRNA from 1 species
CUUAUUAACGCUGAGGCGUGACGACGAGGCACUACGGUGCUGAAGUGAUAAAUGCCCAGCUUCCAGGAAAAGCCUCUAAGCAUCAGGUAACACAGAAUCGUACCCCAAACCGACACAGGUGGUCAGGUAGAGAAUACCAAGGCGCUUGAGAGAACUCGGGUGAAGGAACUAGGCAAAAUGGUGCCGUAACUUCGGGAGAAGGCACGCUGGCGCGUAGGUGGAGGGACUUGCUCCCCGAGCCGAAGCCAGUCGAAGAUACCAGCUGGCUGCAACUGUUUAUUAAAAACACAGCACUGUGCAAACACGAAAGUGGACGUAUACGGUGUGACGCCUGCCCGGUGCCGGAAGGUUAAUUGAUGGGGUUAUCCGUAAGGAGAAGCUCUUGAUCGAAGCCCCGGUAAACGGCGGCCGUAACUAUAACGGUCCUAAGGUAGCGAAAUUCCUUGUCGGGUAAGUUCCGACCUGCACGAAUGGCGUAAUGAUGGCCAGGCUGUCUCCACCCGAGACUCAGUGAAAUUGAACUCGCUGUGAAGAUGCAGUGUACCCGCGGCAAGACGGAAAGACCCCGUGAACCUUUACUACAGCUUGACACUGAACAUUGAGCCUUGAUGUGUAGGAUAGGUGGGAGGCUUUGAAGCGCGGACGCCAGUCUGCGUGGAGCCAACCUUGAAAUACCACCCUUUAAUGUUUGAUGUUCUAACGUAGGCCCGUAAUCCGGGCUGCGGACAGUGUCUGGUGGGUAGUUUGACUGGGGCGGUCUCCUCCUAAAGAGUAACGGAGGAGCACGAAGGUCAGCUAAUCACGGUCGGACAUCGUGAGGUUAGUGCAAUGGCAUAAGCUGGCUUGACUGCGAGAGUGACGGCUCGAGCAGGUGCGAAAGCAGGUCAUAGUGAUCCGGUGGUUCUGAAUGGAAGGGCCAUCGCUCAACGGAUAAAAGGUACUCCGGGGAUAACAGGCUGAUACCGCCCAAGAGUUCAUAUCGACGGCGGUGUUUGGCACCUCGAUGUCGGCUCAUCACAUCCUGGGGCUGAAGUAGGUCCCAAGGGUACGGCUGUUCGCCGUUUAAAGUGGUACGCGAGCUGGGUUUAGAACGUCGUGAGACAGUUCGGUCCCUAUCUGCCGUGGGCGCUGGAGAAUUGAGGGGGGUUGCUCCUAGUACGAGAGGACCGGAGUGAACGCACCACUGGUGUUCGGGUUGUCAUGCCAAUGGCAUUGCCCGGUAGCUAAGUGCGGAAAAGAUAAGUGCUGAAAGCAUCUAAGCACGAAACUUGCCCCGAGAUGAGUUCUCCCUGACUCCUUGAGAGUCCUGAAGGGACGUUGAAGACUACGACGUUGAUAGGCCGGGUGUGUAAGCGCAGCGAUGCGUUGAGCUAACCGGUACUAAUGACCCGUGAGGCUUAACCUU